UUGCUCACGCAAACNUGAGCUAAUACCGGAUGUGCCCUUCGGGGGAAAGAUUUAUCGCCAUUGGAGCGGCCCGCGUAGGAUUAGCUAGUUGGUGAGGUAAAGGCUCACCAAGGCGACGAUCCUUAGCUGGUCUGAGAGGAUGAUCAGCCACAUUGGGACUGAGACACGGCCCAAACUCCUACGGGAGGCAGCAGUGGGGAAUCUUGCGCAAUGGGCGAAAGCCUGACGCACCAUGCCGCGUGAAUGAUGAAGGUCUUAGGAUUGUAAAAUUCUUUCACCGGGGACGAUAAUGACGGUACCCGGAGAAGAAGCCCCGGCUAACUUCGUGCCAGCAGCCGCGGUAAUACGAAGGGGGCUAGCGUUGCUCGGAAUUACUGGGCGUAAAGGGAGCGUAAGCGGACUGUUUAGUCAGAAGUGAAAGCCCANGGCUCAACCUUGGAAUUGCCUUUGAUACUGGCAGUCUUGAGUACGGAAGAAGUAUGUGGAACUCCNAGUGUAGAGUGAAAUUCGUAGAUAUUCGG
rnacentral:rRNA from 1 species